rnacentral:rRNA from 1 species
AAAUUGAAGAGUUUGAUCAUGGCUCAGAUUGAACGCUGGCGGCAGGCCUAACACAUGCAAGUCGAACGGUAACAGGAAACAGCUUGCUGUUUCGCUGACGAGUGGCGGACGGGUGAGUAAUGUCUGGGAAACUGCCCGAUGGAGGGGGAUAACUACUGGAAACGGUAGCUAAUACCGCAUAACGUCGCAAGACCAAAGAGGGGGACCUUCGGGCCUCUUGCUAUCGGAUGUGCCCAGAUGGGAUUAGCUAGUAGGUGGGGUAACGGCUCACCUAGGCGACGAUCCCUAGCUGGUCUGAGAGGAUGACCAGCCACACUGGAACUGAGACACGGUCCAGACUCCUACGGGAGGCAGCAGUGGGGAAUAUUGCACAAUGGGCGCAAGCCUGAUGCAGCCAUGCCGCGUGUAUGAAGAAGGCCUUCGGGUUGUAAAGUACUUUCAGCGGGGAGGAAGGGAGUAAAGUUAAUACC